rnacentral:sRNA from 1 species
AAUACUGGAUGAUGGAUUGACAGCUUGAGCGCCUGGCUAGUCCUCAGCACAGUCUAGCCAUUUCUGAAUAUGAAGUAGGACGCCUUUCACCCUCCCACCUUCAAAGACACCCAGAUGAUUUAUUUCCUGAGUACUUCAUGCUUCCUGUGGUAUUACUAAGUCCCCAGAAAAGUUACAGCUAAGUACUCCGUCUUCUUUCUAAUACACGUUCCCUCCAUGGAUUGCCUAGGUCAGGCAUGGUACAGAAUUUCAUUCACAUGACCUCCCAAUGUCCACCUUCUCCUUCUUCUAUGUGUCAUUUCUAUCUUGUGGCAAAAUGAGAACUAUAUACUUUUAAACUUACCCUUUUUUCUCCAACAGAAAUGUUUAAUUAUAUAUUCUGAAUACUUCAAAAUAGCUUAAUACUUCUAGUCUCCUGUGAAACAUUUUGACAGUAGUAAAAUGUUUAACAGCACAAAUGAACAGCACUCCUCUCUGGUGUUUUUGUCCUUGAUAUCUAGAACAGGAGUGUACAAAGCAACCACAAGCCAGGCCAGAUUGGCUGAUUUUGUUUUAUUGAACGCACAUUGGAUGAUAAAGUUUUGUUGAAACACAGAUGCACAUACUAAUUUAUGUGUACUUUCCUUUUUUGCUUUUGGCUAUUAGUGAAAGAGUUAGAAAGCUAUGACAGAAAAAUCAGAAAAUGUAAUUUGAGCAUCUUUUGUACUUAGAGACAGAGUGUUUUAAAUUUCACUAUUCUCAAGUGUUGGAAUAUCGUCAUAUGCAGGGUUGGUUAGUGAUCUUUGUUUUCCUGGGCCCUCUGGUGAUUAUUCUGAGACACACUAGCAUCUGAGAAACCCAUAGUGGUAAUUAGUUAGUGGUCAUAUUUUCAUCCUCCUUUCAAGGAAAGAACGUGCAAAUCAGCUCCAACCUUCACACAGGGAGCAUGGUGCCCAUCCUCUCUGCUCUUCUUAGCAGCUUUUCAGACUAGGGCUCAGAAGCUUGCUUCUGUGUUCUGGUUCUAGCCCACAGAUAAUUUUGAAUCCGUUGACUUCUGGCUGGCCUCUUCUUUUCAUAUUUUAUGUGUUUGUAUUGUUUUCAAGGCCGAGGGAAUGUGCUGAAACUUGAACUUAGAGUCAUGGUAGAGAAAACCAAAAGCAUAUUUACAUUUACCUCUUAUGUUAAGCUGCCACAACACAGCCUUGCCUGUUAGACACUCUGAAUGGACCACCAAAGUAUCAGCCACAUAUGCCACACACAUUUUCUUAUGGUUUGUAACCUAGGGCAUGGAGCUCAACCCUGUAAACCUUGAUUAAUGUGUCCACGAAAGGAGAACCAAGGUCCUGUUGUCCUGUCUGCUCAGGAGCCACCUGUGAAUAUGUUUCCUCUGAGGCACACUGGGAUGCCAGGAAGUCACCUGCAUUUCCUGUGAGGUCACCAGAAGGGAGGAACACUGUCAGGAAAGAGUGGAGUGGGGACAUAGUAAUUCCUUCAUCUUCAUCUGGGUAACAGGAUAUCCUUUGGUUCCAUUCACUUUCUGAAAAUGGCACAGCUUCAUUCUUCUUUAUGACUGGAUAAUAACCCAUUGUGUGUAUUACAUGCUCC